rnacentral:piRNA from 1 species
CGAGUGCCUUGAUCCCUUGACAGAAU